rnacentral:rRNA from 1 species
AUGGGGUACCAGGUGGUGGCGGCGCAGCUGGCGCGUCUGAGCGGCGCGCUGGGCACCUCGGACCACGCCUCCGUGGUCUCCAUCACCCUCUUCGUCGCGCUGCUCUGCGCCUGCAUCGUCCUCGGCCACCUGCUCGAGGAGAACCGCUGGCUCAACGAGUCCAUCACCGCCCUCAUCAUCGGGCUGUGCACCGGCGUGGUGAUCCUGAUGACCACCAAGGGGAAGAGCUCGCACGUGCUCGUCUUCAGCGAGGACCUCUUCUUCAUCUACCUCCUGCCUCCCAUCAUCUUCAACGCCGGUUUCCAGGUGAAGAAGAAGCAGUUCUUCAGGAAUUUCAUGACAAUCACACUAUUUGGUGCAGUUGGGACGAUGAUGUCGUUCUUCACAAUAUCUCUUGCUGCCAUUGCGAUAUUCAGCAGGAUGAACAUUGGGACACUGGAUGUAUCAGAUUUUCUUGCAAUUGGAGCCAUCUUUUCCGCGACAGAUUCCGUCUGCACUCUACAGGUUCUCAAUCAGGACGAGACGCCCUUUUUGUACAGUCUAGUCUUCGGGGAAGGUGUUGUGAACGACGCCACAUCGGUCGUGCUUUUCAACGCGCUCCAGAACUUCGAUCCUAACCAGAUCGACGCGAUCGUCAUUCUGAAGUUCUUGGGGAACUUCUGCUACUUAUUCGUGUCAAGCACCUUCCUUGGAGUGUUUACUGGAUUGCUUAGUGCAUACGUCAUCAAGAAGUUAUACAUAGGAAGGCAUUCUACUGACCGUGAGGUUGCACUUGUGAUGCUCAUGGCCUACCUCUCAUAUAUGCUAGCUGAGCUGCUAGAUUUGAGUGGUAUCCUCACUGUAUUCUUCUGUGGUAUUGUGAUGUCACAUUACACCUGGCAUAACGUGACAGAGAGCUCAAGAGUUACAACAAAGCAUGCGUUUGCAACCUUGUCCUUCAUCGCCGAGACUUUUCUCUUCCUUUAUGUUGGGAUGGAUGCACUGGAUAUCGAGAAGUGGAAAUUUGCUAGUGACAGCCCCGGCAAAUCCAUUGGAAUAAGCUCAAUUUUACUCGGAUUGGUUCUGGUUGGAAGAGCUGCUUUCGUCUUCCCGCUCUCGUUCUUAUCCAACCUGACAAAGAAGACGGAGCUCGAGAAAAUAAGCUGGAGGCAGCAAAUCGUAAUAUGGUGGGCUGGGCUGAUGAGAGGAGCUGUGUCGAUCGCCCUUGCUUACAAUAAGUUUACAAGAUCUGGUCACACACAGCUGCACGGCAACGCGAUAAUGAUCACCAGCACCAUCACUGUCGUUCUGUUUAGCACUAUGGUGAGCCAUCUCAUGUUCAAUCCCUAUCCAAUGCAGUGUACCAGCUUAUCAUCUGAGGUCAUUCUGAACGUGUCGACUGUUCUGAAACCAUCUGACAUCAUGUAUGUAUCAUGUUUACCAGCUGUUUGGCAUUUUGACAAAGCCUCUGAUCCGGUUCCUGCUGCCCGCGUCGAGCAAUGGCGCUGCCUCAGACCCCGCAUCACCGAAGUCCCUGCACUCUCCUCUCCUCACAAGCCAGCUAGGCUCGGACCUGGAGGCGCCUCUCCCCAUCGUGAGGCCUUCCAGCCUCCGGAUGCUCAUCACCAAGCCGACCCACACCAUCCACUACUACUGGCGCAAGUUCGACGACGCGCUGAUGCGCCCGAUGUUCGGAGGGCGCGGGUUUGUGCCCUACUCCCCAGGAUCACCCACCGAUCCGAACGUACUCGUGGAAUGAACGUCGUGAAGAAACAACGGAGAAGCCAUUACAGCUUCAGGAGACACUCUGAACUGUAA